rnacentral:rRNA from 1 species
CUGUAAGCCUGUGAAGGUGUACUGUGAGGUAUGCUGGAGGUAUCAGAAGUGCGAAUGCUGACAUAAGUAACGAUAAAGCGGGUGAAAAGCCCGCUCGCCGGAAGACCAAGGGUUCCUGUCCAACGUUAAUCGGGGCAGGGUGAGUCGACCCCUAAGGCGAGGCCGAAAGGCGUAGUCGAUGGGAAACAGGUUAAUAUUCCUGUACUUGGUGUUACUGCGAAGGGGGGACGGAGAAGGCUAUGUUGGCCGGGCGACGGUUGUCCCGGUUUAAGCGUGUAGGCUGGUUUUCCAGGCAAAUCCGGAAAAUCAAGGCUGAGGCGUGAUGACGAGGCACUACGGUGCUGAAGCAACAAAUGCCCUGCUUCCAGGAAAAGCCUCUAAGCAUCAGGUAACAUCAAAUCGUACCCCAAACCGACACAGGUGGUCAGGUAGAGAAUACCAAGGCGCUUGAGAGAACUCGGGUGAAGGAACUAGGCAAAAUGGUGCCGUAACUUCGGGAGAAGGCACGCUGAUAUGUAGGUGAAGUCCCUCGCGGAUGGAGCUGAAAUCAGUCGAAGAUACCAGCUGGCUGCAACUGUUUAUUAAAAACACAGCACUGUGCAAACACGAAAGUGGACGUAUACGGUGUGACGCCUGCCCGGUGCCGGAAGGUUAAUUGAUGGG